CUCGUAGGUGGCCAACUAAGUCAGACGUGAAAUCCCUCGGCUUAACCGGGGAACUGCGUCUGAUACUGGAUGGCUUGAGGUUUGGGAGAGGGAUGCGGAAUUCCAGGUGUAGCGGUGAAAUGCGUAGAUAUCUGGAGGAACACCGGUGGCGAAGGCGGCAUCCUGGACCAAUACUGACGCUGAGGAGCGAAAGCCAGGGAGCAAACG
rnacentral:rRNA from 1 species